rnacentral:tRNA from 5 species
GGACAGUUGGGUGAGUGGCUGAAACCACAUCCCUGCUAAGGAUGCGUGCUCGUAAGGGCACCCUGAGUUCGAAUCUCAGACUGUCCGCCA